rnacentral:misc_RNA from 1 species
UGGGUGUUUGCUGCUUUUCCUUGUGGCUCACCUCAAAUGCGUUAGUGCACCUCUUGGUUGGACAUAGUACGGCGUGAUAAGUAUCUUCGCCGGCACCUCGCAAGAGGGUGGCCGAUCGAGAGCUCUGUGCUUUCAAACCGUCUUCGGACAAUGUCUGACAACUUGACCUCAAAUCGAGUAGGACUACCCGCUGAACUUAA